UUCUGCGUAUCCAAGCAUUGGGGGGACAAAGUAAUACUUGGCAUUAAUGGAGCUCACCCAUAAGGAAUGCCUAUUCCAAACUUCUUCGCUUAUGAAAAGGAGGAUCCGGGGGGCAUAUCAUUCCCAACAUGCACUGCUUAUCUGAAAAGGCAAGGAACUGAGGAGCAGGAAGGCCAAGGAAACUGCGCAGGGUCACAGACCUAGGAAACAGCAGAGCGGAGACUGGAGCCUCUGGCAGUGUGAGCUGUGCGGCUCUCAACCCCGACAUCACGGUUGCCUACCACGCGCACAGCCAGAACCUGAAUUUAGAACUUCAACUCCAAGGCCAAAGCUCUUUUCACUAUCCCAUGGUAUUACAAGGAUACAUGUAUUAUAAUUAGACUCUAUGCUGAAAAAGAAAACCUUCCACACAAUAAAUGGGGUCAGAGGAGGAACAGGCCA